rnacentral:lncRNA from 1 species
CGAGAUUUUUCAACUCUGUAUCUGAUCAACUGCUUCUCUAUAUAGGUCAGUGAGGCCAUCCAUAGAAGCUCAGUCGGGUAACACAGAGAAACCCACUACCCAAAAUGCACAAGAGUAAGAUCGCUAGAGCUGAGAAGAAAAAAAACAGCACAAGGCAGAAGCAAAUCGAGAGGAAGAACCGAAGAAGAAAGGGCCGGUUCAGGAGAAGGAAGAAUUGGCUAAGCUAAAAUUUCGGCUGUAGGCAAAUUGAAAACAGCCGAGUGGCCAUUAACAGAACCGUUUUUUCAUUGUUUC